UGUUUGUAAAUCUAAGAAGGACAGAGUUAAAAGCUAGGAUACUGCACAGAUCUUACCCACGCCACAUUAUUCAAGGUCAUACUAUUCAAUGGUAAUUUAUAAUUUACAUUUGCGAGAUGGCAACGAAGGUCACAUCUCAAGCGCAUGUGUAGUGUAUCUCAACCACUUACGAAACAGAGAGCCUUUGUGAAGAUGCAAUAUCCAAACAUGCAAUCGAAGAAGGAUGGCCUCGCCAUAAGCGUCGUUUUAUACCUUCAGUAAGUACCGUUUGUCUUUUUUCUGUUCCUUAGAGUGUUUGUAUUAACUUUAACAGAGGCGUCGAUUUUAUUUUUUAGAAAAAUGUGAUCACUGUGAUGAUUAUCUUGUAAAACCCUUGUGUGGGCAUGUAUCGUCUCAUAAAAGACCUUAUCGAAACAAUGUGUAAUGGUUUGACCUUACGAAUCGAACGGGAAUAAAUAAAAAUAUAUAUUUACAAAAGCUUAACGACUCGUGUUUCAAGUUUGUUGUUUGACCUUACGAAUAGAACAGGAAUAAAUAAAAAUAUAUAUUUACAAAAGCUUAA